rnacentral:misc_RNA from 1 species
GAUGAAGAACGCAGCGAAAUGCGAUAAGUAAUGUGAAUUGCAGAAUUCAGUGAAUCAUCGAAUCUUUGAACGCACAUUGCGCCCGCUAGUAUUCUGGCGGGCAUGCCUGUCCGCGCGUCAUUUCAACCCUCAAGCCCCCGGGCUUGGUGUUGGGGAUCGGCGAGCCUCCGCGCCCGCCGUCCCCUAAAUCUAGUGGCGGUCUCGCUGUAGCUUCCUCUGCGUAGUAGCACACCUCGCACUGGGAAACAGCGCGGCCACGCCGUUAAACCCCCAACUUCUGAACGUUUGACCUCGGAUCAGGUAGGAAUACCCGCUGAACUUAAGCAUAUCAAUAAGCGGAGGA